rnacentral:lncRNA from 1 species
AGAAGGCUAUUGCAAUGCCUUUUUAUUCUUAAAGAGGAAGUAGAUGUGAAGGUGUCCCAGGAUUAUGAAUCUGGAAGAGUUUGAAAUAGGUUUAUUGUCAUUUGACUGAUACCCUUAUGUAUUAUUAUGGUUAAAUAAUGUCUUGGUUAUUCUCUUUGUUUCCUUCACCUUCACAGCAAUUAUUGACUUCUUUCUUAAAAGCAGGAGGCUGAUGCCUACAGACUACAUUCCCUGGAUGCCCCUUCUGGAAUGCUGGACGUUUGAGGAGCGAGGAAGGAGAGAGAGAGAAUCCAACCUGAUAUCUUUGCUUGUAACUGAAUCUCCAAAGGACUGUAGCUCCUGCAGGGUGAUCUCUCUCCAAGAUCAAGCUCUCAGUGUGCUCUGUGUUUCUCCUCUUGUCCCUUCAAGCCCAGGAGUGGGUAACUGAUUGUUGUUGCUAGUUUCUUGAUGCCUCUAAAUCAUUUAUAUGUUUCCUUAACUCUCCCUUAACUUUGUAAUGAUUUUUUGUAUUAAAUUCUCUUUAUUUAAACCAUCUAAUUCAAUUUGAAUAUUGCCUAAUACAAAUAAAUCUCAAGCAGAUUAAAAUUUUUAUUUUCUAUAUUUAAUGACAUAAAGAAGGGACUUUCUCAGCAAUAUUUAGUGACAGGUCAUAACCAUCAUUCUUGCAUUAAUUCUUAAUUAAAUCUGAGUUCCUUAUGCAUCUGUGUAAAUAUAGAAUCUGCUCUCAGAAACUCAAUUGCACGCUUACUAAGCAUUACUUACUUACUCACUCAGGAUCUUUUGUUUCAGCCCAGGUAGCUUAGUUCAUUUUAUCCUUUCUCUUUUUUAUGUAUUUUUUGGUUUUAAGAUUCUAUUUUUGGUUCACUUUUGGGCCAGAUAUUUCCCCCAUUUUUUCCUGUCACCAAUAGCAGCUCUUUCUCAAAUGGACUGGAGAAAUACAUUCUGUAUUAUAUAUCUAUAUACAUCAUUAGAUUACUCCUUGUUAAUCUACAAGGUUUUGUGGUUAUUAUUUUAUUAGGUUUUCAUUUUUAUUUAUUUGCAUAUAAACGCUUUAGAAUUUUCCACACAAGAUCUGUGGACCCCAAAGAGGCUGAAUAUUACUUCUGAUAAUGUUAUGUUUGUGUUUUAAUUUUUGAACAUUUUGUAUUUUUAUGUUUGCACAGGCACAUUCCAGAUCAUUUGAAUAAGCCAGUUAUAGCCAGGCACUGCCACAGAUUUCAGCACUUACUUCAUUGUUGCAUGAGUACAAUAACCCUAAGGACAUAAUUCCUAAUUUUAUGUUUGUGUGUAAUAAAAUAACAUCAUAGAAACAUUUAAUCAAUGUUGAAGGUCCAUGAGAAAUGGCAUUUUCAAUGUUCUGUACAAUUUUAAGUGUCUUGGGAAGGAUAAUGCCCUCAAAGUUUCUAGUUAAUAUCCAAUAAGGCUCUGCAUAAUAAAUAAAUGAAGUAUUGAACAUGUACACAAGUGAAUGACGUGUUUUUAUAUUGCUUUUUAG